GGUCAAGUGAAGAAGCGCAUACGGUGGAUGCCUUGGCAGUCAGAGGCGAUGAAAGACGUGGUAGCCUGCGAAAAGCUUUGGGGAGUCGGCAAACAGACUGUGAUCCAGAGAUCUCUGAAUGGGGGAACCCACCCGGCAUAAGCCGGGUAUCUUGUACUGAAUCCAUAGGUGCAAGAGGCGAACCAGGGGAACUGAAACAUCUAAGUACCCUGAGGAAAAGAAAUCAACCGAGAUUCCCUAAGUAGUGGCGAGCGAACGGGGACUAGCCCUUAAGUUGAUUUGAGUGUAGUGGAAGGCUCUGGAAAGUGCCGCCGUAGUGGGUGAUAGCCCCGUACACGAAACGCUCUUAUCAAUGAAAUCGAGUAGGACGGGGCACGAGAAACCUUGUCUGAACAUGGGGGGACCAUCCUCCAAGGCUAAAUACUACUGACUGACCGAUAGUGAACCAGUACCGUGAGGGAAAGGCGAAAAGAACCCCGGAGAGGGGAGUGAAAUAGAACCUGAAACCGUAUGCGUACAAGCAGUGGGAGCCUACUUUGUUGGGUGACUGCGUACCUUUUGUAUAAUGGGUCAGCGACUUAUAUUCAGUGGCGAGCUUAACCGAAUAGGGGAGGCGUAGCGAAAGCGAGUCUUAAUAGGGCGCUUUAGUCGCUGGGUAUAGACCCGAAACCGGGCGAUCUAUCCAUGGGCAGGUUGAAGGUUAGGUAACACUGACUGGAGGACCGAACCGACUACCGUUGAAAAGUUAGCGGAUGACCUGUGGAUCGGAGUGAAAGGCUAAUCAAGCUCGGAGAUAGCUGGUUCUCCUCGAAAGCUAUUUAGGUAGCGCCUCGUGUAUCACUGCUGGGGGUAGAGCACUGUUUCGGCUAGGGGGUCAUCCCGACUUACCAAACCGAUGCAAACUCCGAAUACCAGCAAGUGUCAGCACGGGAGACACACGGCGGGUGCUAACGUCCGUCGUGAAAAGGGAAACAACCCAGACCGUCAGCUAAGGUCCCAAAGUUAUGGUUAAGUGGGAAACGAUGUGGGAAGGCUUAGACAGCUAGGAGGUUGGCUUAGAAGCAGCCAUCCUUUAAAGAAAGCGUAAUAGCUCACUAGUCGAGUCGGCCUGCGCGGAAGAUGUAACGGGGCUCAAACCAUACACCGAAGCUACGGGUUCAUCCUUUGGAUGAGCGGUAGAGGAGCGUUCUGUAAGCCUGUGAAGGUGAGUUGAGAAGCUUGCUGGAGGUAUCAGAAGUGCGAAUGCUGACAUGAGUAACGACAAUGCGAGUGAAAAACUCGCACGCCGAAAGACCAAGGUUUCCUGCGCAACGUUAAUCGACGCAGGGUUAGUCGGCCCCUAAGGCGAGGCAGAAAUGCGUAGUCGAUGGGAAACGGGUUAAUAUUCCCGUACUUCUAGUUACUGCGAUGGAGGGACGGAGAAGGCUAGGCCAGCACGGCGUUGGUUGUCCGUGUUUAAGGUGGUAGGCUGAGAUCUUAGGUAAAUCCGGGAUCUUAAGGCCGAGAGCUGAUGACGAGCGUUCUUUUAGAAUGCGAAGUGGUUGAUGCCAUGCUUCCAGGAAAAGCUUCUAAGCUUCAGGUAACUAGGAACCGUACCCCAAACCGACACAGGUGGUUAGGUAGAGAAUACCAAGGCGCUUGAGAGAACUCGGGUGAAGGAACUAGGCAAAAUGGCACCGUAACUUCGGGAGAAGGUGCGCCGGUGAGGGUGAAGUAUUUACUACGUAAGCCCAUGCCGGUCGAAGAUACCAGGCCGCUGCGACUGUUUAUUAAAAACACAGCACUCUGCAAACACGAAAGUGGACGUAUAGGGUGUGACGCCUGCCCGGUGCCGGAAGGUUAAUUGAUGGGGUUAGCGCAAGCGAAGCUCUUGAUCGAAGCCCCGGUAAACGGCGGCCGUAACUAUAACGGUCCUAAGGUAGCGAA
rnacentral:rRNA from 1 species